UCGUCUUCUUUCUCUCCAUCUUCAUUCCCACAAUCAGGCAAUCAGCACACUCACCAGUGAAAUCCGAGCCUGCCUCCCCGCGCACGGCUCUUCCCGCCCAGCGCCGCCGCCGCCAUGCCCCUUGCCCUCUCCUUCCUCCACCUCCCGCCCAACACUGCCCCUUUCCAUUCCUUCCAAGUCCAUCGCACCCACCACUCGCACCUUCACCUCUCCCUCCGCACUCGGCGCGCCUCAGCGACGGUGGCAGCGGCCGAAGCAGAGAACCCGUCCGCAUCGGCGGACGUCGAGAUGGUCCGCGGGCGGGACGGCGUUUGGACGGCGCGGUCCCCAACUGUGGUGGUGCUGUGGGACCUCGACAACAAGCCCCCGCGCGGGCCGCCGUUCCCGGCCGCCACCGCCCUCAUCGGCGCUGCCUCCCUCCUCGGCCGCGUUGUCUCGGUCUCCGCCUUCGCCAACCGCCACGCCUUCUCCCAUCUCCCUGUCUGGGUAACCGCCGAGCGCCGCGACCGCCGCGCCCUCGACCGCGCCGAGCGCGCGGGGGUCGUCGCCCCUUCCGUGCCUUACUCCUGCGCCGUCUGCGGCCGCCGUUUCCCCACCCGCCCCGAUCUCACCCGCCACUUCCGCCAGCUUCACGAGCGCGAGCGCAACAAGAAGCUCUCCCGCCUCCGCUCCCUCAAGGGCAAGAAGCGGCAGAAGUUCCGCGAGCGGUUCAUCUCCGGCAACACCAAGUACGAGGACGCCGCGCGGGAGCUCCUCACCCCCAAGGUAGGCUAUGGGCUCGCCUCCGAGCUCCGACGCGCGGGCGUCCACGUCCGCACCGUCUCCGACAAGCCGCAGGCCGCGGACCACGCGCUCAAGCGUCAGGUGAAGCACUCCGUCGCCUGUGGUGUCGAUUGGGUGGUGCUCGUUUCUGACGACUCGGAUUUCACCGAUACUGUGCGGAAUGCUCGCGCUGCCGACCUGAGGACGGUCGUGGUGGGUGACGGUUGCCGCGCUCUUGGCAAGGUUGCUGACAUUUGGUUGCCAUGGGACCGAGUUGAGAAUGGGGAGGUUGAUGAGGAGAUGCUGAGGAGUUGCACAUUUGCAGAGUACCGGGAAGAUCAGGAAGAUGAGCGGGGUGAGCAGUUCAUAGGCGAUUGGGAUGCAAGUGCCUUUGAUGACGUUGUUGACGAUAUUGUUGGAAUGAGAACCAACUUGCUUGGAGCUACGACAAUAUCUGCCUUCGCUGAUGAGGACAUUACAGAUGGCAUAUUUGAUAGCAUGUUUUGGAGUAGUGAUGACGAGGAAGAGGAUGGUUACUUGUGAGGUUCAUGUGUGUUAACAGCACAUUUCCCACAGCCACAGGAUCCAGAUUCCAGAAUGAAAUUACACCAACCCAACCAAGCAACCAACACCAUAGUUCACAUGCUUGUAUUGUCUUCCUGCACAUCUCCUGAACUAACUUUUCAUACCGAGGCAUGAUUGUUUCAUGCUUUGCUCACUGCUAUUCUGCUUAAGGAAACAAUCAUUCCUAACGGCUAUUGAAGAAUAAUUCCUAACGGCUAUUUGAUGCUGACCAUCAAAUAAUUCCAUACAGAGCAUCAUUCCUGCUCUGUGCUCUCUAUUUCUCCAAGCAACUCUAGAAACAACUUAUCUUUCUGGCACUUGUAUUUAUUUGGCAAUUGAAUCCCAUGCUCUAUUCUAAUAGAUUGCUAGGAAGGGCUCAGUUAUUUCCUUCUGGCCAAAAAGGGUAUGGGAGUUUGGGGUACCUAACCAUUGAUUUACCUGUAUGUAAGUUUAUUUCUCACCACUAAACUUUUUGAUAGUUGAACACUUUUCUCUGUUUUAUUAUGGGAAAAGAUCAUGUGAUUUCAAGAAUCCGCGGUUGUGGUUCAUUAGAGCAGUGUUAGAAUGGAAACUAAGCAGACGAGACAGAGUUUUAUUUCUCAUUUGAUUUACAUCCAUAUCAAACACCAGUUUUGGGGCGAGUUCCUCAGCCAGAAGUACUAAUUUAAUUUUUGUUUGAGAACAUAGGCAGCAGGUUAGUCAUUGAGCUAAUUGAGACAGCUGCUUCUCUUUUGUGUUAACAUAUGGGGACAAAAAUAUGCCCUUUUGUAUGCAA